rnacentral:rRNA from 1 species
GACGAACGCUGGCGGCGUGCUUAACACAUGCAAGUCGAACGGAAAGGCCCUGCUUUUGUGGGGUGCUCGAGUGGCGAACGGGUGAGUAACACGUGAGUAACCUGCCCUUGACUUUGGGAUAACUUCAGGAAACUGGGGCUAAUACCGGAUAGGAGCUCCUGCUGCAUGGUGGGGGUUGGAAAGUUUCGGCGAUUGGGGAUGGACUCGCGGCUUAUCAGCUUGUUGGUGGGGUAGUGGCUUACCAAGGCUUUGACGGGUAGCCGGCCUGAGAGGGUGACCGGCCACAUUGGGACUGAGGUACGGCCCAGACUCCUACGGGAGGCAGCAGUGGGGAAUAUUGCACAAUGGGCGGAAGCCUGAUGCAGCAACGCCGCGUGCGGGAUGACGGCCUUCGGGUUGUAAACCGCUUUCGCCUGUGACGAAGCGUGAGUGACGGUAAUGGGUAAAGAAGCACCGGCUAACUACGUG